rnacentral:tRNA from 1 species
GAGGCCCUAGUAAAUUAAUUACAUAGCCCUGUCAGAGCUAAAUUAUAGACUUAAACCCUGUGGGCCUCA